rnacentral:rRNA from 1 species
UACGGAGGGCGCAAGCGUUGUUCGGAAUCAUUGGGCGUAAAGCGCGUGUAGGCGGCUUGGCAAGUCGGGUGUGAAAUCCCGGGGCUCAACCCCGGAACUGCAUUCGAUACUGUCUCGCUAGAGUCCCGGAGAGGAAGGCGGAAGUCCCGGUGUAGAGGUGAAAUUCGUAGAUAUCGGGAGGAACACCAGUGGCGAAGGCGGCCUUCUGGACGGUGACUGACGCUGAGAUGCGAAAGCGUGGGGAGCAAACAGG